AACAAUAGUCAAAGUCGAUCUUCGUCCUGACCAAGAUUCCAUCCAGAAAGCCAAAAAAACAGAUGGUUUGUCUGUGGCAUUUAAAGAUUUUCUUUUUUCUUUUUGGUAAUUGGUCAAAAAAGUAUAAUUUGUAAAGGAUGGGAAAAAUUUUGAGUACUUUUUAUGACCAUUGCCCUAAAAGAGAUAGGAAGAGAAGAAAUGGAUUUAUAAGAUUACUAAACUUGUUUUUCUCUUUUGUUCCAAAGGUUAUUUGUAAGUUGUAAGGUGUGGAUGAGCAGAAUGAACAGUGGAAACAUAUAAUUUCAUCAAACACAUUGAAUCUUUUACAUAUAAGAAAAAAGGAUUUUAAAAAAAAUAUAUUUGAUUUGAUAUUUUACGAAUUUCCAUUAUGGGCAGUCCCAAAAAGAAGACAAAGUUCAUACAUUUCUGCAGCCGAGUGGUUGGAAGAGACUUUUCAUUCAACUUCAAGAACAACAAUACAUACACAGAAAGAAGUGGAUUCGAUAUUUACAAAUGCGAAUUUCUUAGAUUAUUGGAUUGGAAAAAACCCCAUUGAAAGUGAUGCUUUUUCGACACCUGUUGCUUGAAUUCCGGGUUUAAUCACUUCCAUUACCCAAAAGAAUAUUUCUCUUCUCCAGUCAAACGCAGCUUUUCCCAGAUUUGACGCUUAGUGUUCGUCUUCUUCUACAUUCCCUUCCCUUCACUUCCAUCAAAAGAAAAAAAAAAAACCCACAACAACAACCAAGUGGGUGUCGCAAUUACACCCCUAUUCUACUCUCUCUCGUUCGCCCGGCUCUUUCAAAUUGGAAUGCUUUAAAGUGGAAAAAAAAAACACUUCAGUCAAUGUGGAGCCGGUUUAGAGCAUAAGCACACUACACAGUGCUUGGAAUCUCAGUGGCAGAGAAAUUUUAGGGUUCAAUUUAUUGCCCCCAACAACUUGCGCAAUUCCAGUGCAAAAUGCCAACUGAAAACCCUCUCUCCAUUUCUUUUUUCUCUAUGCAUAAUGAAGUUUGAAAUUGGAAUUUAAUUGAGUGUUUUUGGUGGGCAAAGUGAAUUAGAAAAUGGCCAAAAAGAAGUAUGCUUAUGUGUUUAUUUAUUUGAUUUUAAUUGCCUUGUAGCCAUUAUUACUCAACUUAGGGGCGCCCCAUGGAGUAUGAGCGAGAACCCAUCCUCAACCGUUCCCCGGUUCUCAAGUUAUUAAAGCCUAAAUUUUUGUACUUUGUGCUUUUAUGUUUUAAAUCUCAUGGAGAAAUAAGUUUUAGAAACUCCUAUUUGGGUAGAAUUUGUGAAUUUUAAAAGUCAGAUGAUUGAUAGGAUAAUUGGUCAAGGAAGUAGCUACAACGUAACUAUAUAGCAAUUUCUCUUUCUAGA